rnacentral:sRNA from 1 species
UGCCGUCAUGUGUGCACUUGCACCCGAAU